GCUUCACUAGCUCAGUUGGUAGAGCGUCAGUCUCAUAAGCUUAGUUUGUGCAAUCUGAAGGUCGACAGUUCGAUCCUGCCGUGGAGCA
rnacentral:tRNA from 1 species